rnacentral:lncRNA from 1 species
AACCGGCAGGAGAGAAGAGAGGAAGAAGAAGAAGAAGAGAAAAGAGGGGAAAAUAAGGGAAAAAGGAAAAAGAUUGAAGAAAAUAAGUAAAAAGGUAAGAUUUAUGGUUUUAAGUGUAUAAUAUGUUAAAUUUCGGUUUUGAUUAAUUUUGAGAGUUUUGAAGUUUGUAUUUUGAGUUAAUUGAUGAAUUAAUUUGAAGGUUAGGAGUUGAUUAUUGUGGGUAUUUGAUUAAUUAGUUGAUUUUGAGAGAUUGAAUUGAAAGAUAAUGAUUUUGAGUUAUGAUUUUGUUUAAAUGGUGAAAUUUGUUAGAAAUCAGGGGAUAACAGUAGGUGAUCUGUUGAAAUUCUGGGUUUGAGGUUGAAGAUGACGAAAAUUCAGUUUGGUCCCUCAAUUUGUGAAAUUGCAGUUUAGUCCCCGAACUUUGGAAAUUUUACAGAUUGGUCCCUGGGGCAUAAAUUGAGGUUCUGAACAGAACUGAGGAUGAUUUAAGGACAAAAUUCCAGUAUAAUUAAUAUUUUCAGUUUGGUCCUCCAAUUUGACAAAUUAAUUUGACCCUAAAUUUGUAAAUCACAUGGUCCUUGGGCAUAAUUCAAGAUUCUGGACAGAUAAGGACGAAUUAUGGAUAAAUUUCAGUAUGGUAUAUAUAUUUACAAUUCGGUCCUCAAAUUUGGUAAAAUUACGUUUUGGUCCCUGUUUUGGAAAAUUGUCGUUUUAGUCCCUAAACUUGGGAGAUUAAGCCCGGUUUAUUUUAUGCAUUGGGAUCUUUUGUUUGAUUUGUUUUUGAGUAUAUUUCAUAUAUUUAUUGUAGGUUCUCCUAACGAUCCUUAAUCGGAUUUUCGGGUCUUUGUCUGACAUUCCUUUAGUUCAGUAUUUUCCGGGUGAGUGGAAUAAUCUUUAAUAUGCAUAUAUAUAUAUAAAUAAAUAUGUAUGUUGAUUAUACAAUGAGUACAACUAGUAAAUUUCUUGAAUAUUUAUAUAUGUUGCUUUAUUUUCCGAGUACUCAUUUAUUCUUGAAUUUGCACUCGCAAUCUGUUAAAGUAAAUUCUAUUUGAUAUGAUAUACGUUUCUUUGAUGAUUAUGUGAAUAUCUGUUAUGCCUUGAUAUGGGACUUGUCAGUACUCCAUGCUAACGGAGAAUAGUUAGCCUGUGUGCACAUAGUAUUCUGUUACCUAGCUGGUGAGAGAGGCAUCAGCCUGUGGCGAUUGAUCAUCCCACAGUGGUCACCGACGGGUGUCAGUCACCGACGGGUGUCAUCUGGUCACCUUCGGGUGUCAUCUGGUCACCUUCGGGUGUCAUCUGAUCUCUGACAUGUAAUCCACUACGUUAUGAUAAUAUGUUACGUUAUGAUAAUAUGUUUAGUAAGUAUAUGUAUAUGUAUAUUAAGAUAAAUCAUCUUACAAAUUAUUAAUAUCUGAAAUAUCUGAAAUGUAUAUUAAAUGUUAUUCCCUCACUGAGUUGUUGAACUCACCCUCAUUUUUAAUAUUAUUUCAGGUUCUUAGUUUCUGGACUUUGUUGAGUGUUUCCGUUUCUUCAGUUCUGGUCGGUAUGCCUUGCUUGUUCGCGAGGCUUUCCGUUCAGUUUUGAUAUGAUGUCUUAGACGCUCCACUGUUACCUUGUUUUAAUUACGUUUGGAUUUUGACAAUGUAAAUGUAUUAUGAAUUAUUAUUUUUGUUUUAAUAACUAUCUUUUGGUUUCAUCAGUAUUUGAAUAAUAUAAUAUUUCUGUAUAUUAUGAGCCGCUGCGUAUUUUUGAACAAAUUGUUCUUUUGAUAUGUCCGUUCUGAGGCUUAGCGUAGGUGAGGUGUCCUUUCAACACCGCUCCUACGUUGCCGGUCACGGAUCCGGGAUUCGGGUCGUGACA